UACAGAGGUGGCAAGCGUUGUUCGGAAUUACUGGGCGUAAAGGGCGCGUAGGCGGCCAUCUAAGUCAGACGUGAAAUCCCCCGGCUUAACCUGGGAACUGCGUCUGAUACUGGACGGCUCGAGUAUGGGAGAGGGAUGUAGAAUUCCAGGUGUAGCGGUGAAAUGCGUAGAUAUCUGGAGGAAUACCGGUGGCGAAGGCGGCAUCCUGGACCAUUUACUGACGCUGAGGUGCGAAAGCGUGGGGAGCAAACAGG
rnacentral:rRNA from 1 species